AUUCAAGUGAAAAGAGAAUAUGGAAAAACUGGGAAUGAGUGAAAACAAUGUAAAGGCAGAGUUGCUUGUAAAUCAAUAAAUAUUACAUCAGCUUUUCACAGUAAAGCUCCACCAAAUGGCAUGGGAUUAAUGCAAGUUAUCAGAAGGUUGAGUGGAGGGAGAGAAUGAAGCUGAGAGAGAACACGUUCAUCUGACCUGUAAUGCAGGUAUUGAUUUUAAACUGUGAAUCCUUUUUAAUGGCAUGUUGCUUGAUGUUUACUAAAUGAAGCUUUAUUUCUAUCUGGUAUUCAUUAAAAUGGGGUGGGGAGAAUGAAUUGAAUCUAUUUCGUGAUCUUUUCUAAAUAGUCAUUAAGUAUGCCCAUAUGUACAGUAGCCUGUGGUGGCCUUGAGGAAGGGAUAUGGACCCUUUCAAAGCUUGAGUCAUUUAUAUCAUUUUAAAUACAUUUUAUUCUGACAAUUGGCUCCAGAGAACCCCACAGUAUCUCAAACAUGGGAAAAUAUAUAUGAUAAAAUGCAUGAUAAAAGAAGCUAAACUUCACAAAUGGUCUACAAGGAAGAAGAAAGACAUCUCAAUUGGCAGCAGCUGACAGUUUAGUAAAAAUUCAGCAAUUCUCCCCACCACCUGAUGGAAUAGAGAAGUUUUAUCUGCAUUUGGAUUACAUGUAAUCCAGGGCAGCUGUCUACCAGCUCCAUCUGGUACACAGGCUGAGACCCUACCUGCCCGCGGACUGUCUCGCCAGAGUGGUGCAUGCUCUAGUUAUCUCCUGCUUGGACUACUACAAUGCGCUCUACAUGGGGCUACCUUUGAAGGCGACCCGGAAACUACUACUAAUCCAGAAUGCGGCAGCUAGACUGGUGAUGCGAGGUGGCUGCGAGACCAUAUAACACCUGUCCUGAAAGACCUACAUUGGCUCCCAGUACAUUUCCAAGCACAAUUCAAAGUGUUGGUGUUGACCUUUAAAGCCCUAAACGGCCUCAGUCCAGUAUACCUGAAGGAGCGUCUCCACCCCCAUUGUUCUGCCCGGACACUGGGGUCCAGCACCGAGGGCCUUCUGGCGGUUCCCUCACUACUAGAAGCAAAGCUACAGGGAACCAGGCAGAGGGCCUUCUCGAUAGUGGCACCCGCCUCAUGGAACGCCCUCCCAUCAGAUGUCAAAGAGAUAAACAACUACCUGAUAUUUAGAAGACAUCUGAAGGCAGCCCUGUUUAGGGAAGUUUUAAAUGUGUGACAUUUUAAUGUAUUUUUAAUCUUUGUUGGAAGCUGCCCAGAGUGGCUGGGCAAACACAGCCAGAUGGGCGGGGUAAAAAUAAUAAAUUGUUGUUGUUGUUGUUGUUAUGUACAAUGGUACCUUGGUUCUCAAACACCUUGGUACUCAAAAAAUUUGGAAGCCAAACACUGCAAACCUGGUAAGUGUUCCGGUUUGCGAACUUUUUUCAGAAGCCGAUCAUGCUGCGUUUUGAGUGUUACGCUUCCGAUUUGAGUACCACACUUCUAUUUUGAGUGCCACACUUCCGUUUUGAGUGCCACGUUUCCAUUUUGAGUGUUACACUUCUGUUUUGAGUGCCACACUUCCAUUUUGACUGUUACGCUGAGGUCUGUCUGUUUUUGCUAUUUAUUUUACAUUUUUGUUUUUGUGGCUUUUUUGUUUUGUUUUGUGACUGUGUGGAACCCAGUUCAACUACUGAUUGACUGAUUGUGUGACUGCAGUACAUUGUUUAUUACUUUCAUUUUAUGGAUCAGUGGUCUCAUUACCCAUUGGGCUUCCUCCUUAUCUAUAUGCUCACCCAACACAGUGAUCAUACCCUAUAUGCAUACAACCACAGCAUCACUAAUUGUGUAUAAAAAGUCUGUGCACACAUAAUUUGUAACACCGAAAACUGGUUUAUGGUGCACUCAAGGAGCAGAAAAAGGAAAUAACCAUUGGAAUGCCCUUAUGAAUGAGAAAUCUAAAAUAGUGUCCACCUGCUCAACAGAGAAUUGAAGAGCUGCUUUAAGUCCGUUCUAAAUGACACUCCACAAUGUGAAUGAUGAGACCCCUUCUUCAACACUCAACUGUAUCUAAAAUCAGCUUCAACUUCAAUCCAAUGGCCUGAGCCAUCGCUAAUAUGAACUAGUAUGCUUUUUGGUCACACUGGACUUCCGUAGUGUACACUCCCCUCGGGAGGCUGGUUGGGGGCAGCUGCCAAAGCACCAUUUGAUGUCCUACCCUGUCAUGAGUGCCAACUCCCUUCAGCACCAGCAGGCUUACCAGCAAUGAUGGUGACAAUGAAUAGGUGUAAGUCACCCAUUCCCCACACUGCACAUGCAUGAUUUUGCUGGGGGGGGGGGUAUUGUGGUAAAUUUUAAAAGUGUGUGGCUUGUAGACAAAUGAGUUAAUGAGUGUUCCUCAAAUGGUAAGCUGAAACAGAAUAGAUAUUCAAAUGAAUAAGAAGGUGACACUGUUAUAUAUGCUUUAACUGAAUUCUAUGUUGUGUCUUAACUGAAAAUCAUCUUACGCUUACAAGCCUGGUUUGCUACUAAACAAAACAAGUAAGAUGCCUUGCAAAUCAGUUACUAGUUUAGAAUUUUAUGUAGUAGUUCCUAGCUUCUUAAAUAUAGUCUAAAAAGCCCAGCUACUGUAAGCUGGCAGAACUUAUUAAAAUAAGUCCUGUUGUAAAUCGUACCCUUAAAAACAACGUUUUUCCUCAUUUUUACAGGUGGAAGCCUGUUAAGGGGAGUGGGAAUGGGGCGUUAGAAUGGCCUUCAGAGGGUCUUCUCCUCUACAUUUUCUUUUGAAUGUAGCUUUUUCUACCAGAGAAAGGGUCUUUGUUGAAGUCACAUCCAGUUUAUCGAACUGGUCCUUUAAAACAUGUUGACCCUGCUGCCUUAUUGGAUGUUGGAAUUUCUUUGAGAUAAAGUCAUCAUACUGGACUAGAAAAGACUAUUCUGGACAUUUAGCAACAACAACAAUUGAAGAGCCCCUUUUGGAUUUUUUUCUGUGUGGAAAGGAAAAUAAAUGAACUUGAAGUGUCUGGUGUUGAAGAUUGGAAAAAUCUAGCAGAUUGAGGAACAGCUGGAUAUUUCUCCGGAAUACAGCUGGAUACCAUUCUGGAAUAUUUUGAAUAAUCUUUAUAUACAUAAUUGACAGCUGGGGAAUCAGAAGUCUUAAUUUCUUUCUCUUUCUCUUUUUAUUCUUCAAGAUCUUCAUUCCCUGCAUUUUCUCUUUUUCUUUCUUCUUCUAUCCACUUUACUCUUGUUUUUGUUUUGUUUUGUUUUGUUUUGUUUUGUUUUGUUUUGUUUUGUUUUGCUUUGUUGAUGUCCUCUAUUCUGGUUUAAGGAGGGUUUACACAGGAAGGUGAUGGAUGACUGAUGUAGGCCCUAUAUGAGAGGUGGGGAAGGGAGUAUCUCCAAGGGUGGGAGAUACACAGAAGAAAGGGCUCCCAAGUGUAUUUUUCCACCUUUUUUCUCUUUUCUGUUUUAUUUAUUUGUUUGCUUUUAUUUACAUGCGAUGACCAUUGUGCAUAGGGGUUCUGUUCCUAGCCCCUGCACACAUCAGCAGAGCUCACGUAAGCCCAGCCCAGCCUGUUCCACCCUCUUCCAUCUCCAAAAGGACCUGUGUGUCAGUGGUUGCACAUCAGUUGGACACUCACACAAUGGUUGCUGCCUGCAGUUUCCUUUUUUUAAAAAAUUGUAUUGUAUGCUGAAAAGUUUCAAGAAAAAAGAAAAGUUCCAUGCUGAACUUUCUUACCUUUAUAAUGGAAAAUGCCAGUCCUCCAAAGCACUUUUGUUUUGGAGGUCCCAUUUAUGAGAAUGUUUUGUUAAUGAAGAUCUCCUUCCUUUGUCUGUUCUCCCUCCCCCUUCCUUUGCACUAUUGUAAAGUCAUGUCAGAUGACACUCUUCAAUUACGGAAGAGCUUUUAAUUCCAACAGCAGCUGGCUAGGCACUUCUUCUAGUAUAUCUUGUACUCCUUUUGUAUUCUACACUCCAGCUUCCUUUGUCUUAUACUUUUUUAAAUGACAAACAGCCAAGGGGUUUUUAAUUAGGACAAGAGCUUAAGAAGGCAUUUUUUGCUUUACCUUGGAAGGAAAAAUGGAGCAUUGACAUUUCCCAUGAAAUGUGCCAGAGUUAUUUUCUGCUGUUUUGAAACUAGUCUGUUUCCUAGAACAAUUCAAAGACACCGCUUUUGACUGUUAAGGUUCUGGGUGGCUUGGGAACUGAACACUUUAUGGACCAUCAUUUUGCUCAUGAUCCUGUGGAAGUAUUAAGUUAUUUCCUGAACCUUUUUAUGGGUCUAGUCAGCUUCAGAGGUCAAGUGGGUAAUGAUUGAGGAGGGGGCCUUUUCGGUUGUAGUUCCUCAUCUCUGGCCAAUCUGGGCGCAAGUCUGGUGCCCUUUCAAUGGCAGCAGUAGACCUUUCUUCCACCUAGGACUUAAUGAGUUCUAAUGCUCUGUAUUGGCUCUAUAUGUACCCAAAGGUGAGGUAAAUUGAGAUGAUACAGGAUGGACUGUCAUGUUCCAAGUCAUAUUGUGCCAUUAAGGAGGCAUGCUGAGAUGGAUCCGGGAACCCACAGUACUUGAGGUGGAACAUAAUGGAUCAGACAGUCCUCAUGGUCCUUUGGGCUUUGUGAAGAACCUUGAAAUUAGCUCUGCACCAAAUCAGCAACCACUGAAGCUCUCUUGGUAAAGAAUAAUGUGUUGCCCAUAACAUCCUCCUGUUACUGGCUUCUUUCUUUGCUUGUUGCAGCUUGCAGACCAGAUACAGUGGUACCUCGGGUUAAGAACUUAAUUUGUUCCAGAGGUCCGUUCUUAACCUGAAACUGUUCUUAACCUGAAGCACCACUUUAGCUAAUGGGGCCUUCUGCUGCUGCCGCGCCUCUGGAGCACAAUUUUUGUUCUCAUCCUGAAGCAAAGUUCUUAUCCCGAGGUACUAUUUCUGGGUUAGCAGAGUCUGUAACCCAAAGCGUCUGUAACCUGAAGCGUAUGUAACCCGAGGUACCACUGUACAAGGGCAGCUUCAUACAAAGUGUGCUACAGUAAUCAUUCAGGGCCACUGCAACUGAAAAUGCCCUGACUAGUAUCGCUACCUGCUACAACUCCCCUUGCAGAGUAGGGACUCCCAAGGCUGACUACAGUUGUUGGGUGGAAGAAGGUGGCUGUUCAAUAACCUACUCUCAAGCCAUUAGGGCAGGGAUGGAGAAUCUGUGGCCUUCCAGAUGUCGUUGGACUCCAAAAAUGGUUGGAUAAUUAGCAUAGCUAAUUAUCAGGAAUGCUAGAAACUGUAGUCCAUGUUCCUCACCCUUCCUUAACGGACUACAGUGGUAUCUCAGGUUACAGACACUUCAGGUUACAGACGCUUCAGGUUACACACUCUGCUAACCCAGAAAUAGUGCUUCAGGUUAAGAACUUUGCUUCAGGAUGAGAACAGAAAUCGUGCUCUGGCGGCACGGUGGCAGCAGGAGGCCCCAUUAGCUAAAGUGGUGCUUCAGGUUAAGAACAGUUUCAGGUUAAGUACGGACCUCCAGAACGAAUUAAGUACUUAACCUGAGGUACCACUGUAUAUGCCUCUAUUUUAUGUUUAGUUGCUUUACUAUGCUGACAUAACAGUAAUAUGCUCAAAGACACUCAGUCUGCAUUUGAAUGCUUAAGUCCAUUCUUUUAUUAUUUGCAGCUAAACCUUUCCAUUUUUUUAAAAAAAAUGUUCAGAGAUAUCCGACACUUUAGUCUAUAAAACACUGUAUCAAGAAAGAUUGGAUUCGUUUCAGCCUGUCACUUUAAUGAAAUGGAUCUCAUUUCACUUUAAUGAAGCUAACCCAAGUUGAAUAUUUUGGCAUGAAAAACUAUUCCCCACACCUCCAUGCAUGCAAGCAUAAGAAAUGAAUUGUGGGGAUCUUCUUUUAUGGCGCUGCUGAGCUAGUCUUACCCCUUGUUUUGUUUCUAAGUGAUUUUUCAAAAGGUCUGUGCAGGCAACUAAAAUAUGGAAACAAUCAAUGCAUGGAAGAGGAAGUGGGAUAACAUUUGCUUGCCCAGUUCCCAACAUUAUCAUAGAAUCAUAGAAUUGUAAAGACUGAAGGGACCAUGAGUAUCAUCUAGUCCAACCCCCUGCAAUGCAGGAAUCUUUUGCCCAACAUUGGGCUCGCACAUACAACCCUGAGAUUUAGUCUCAUGCUAUAACGACUGAGUUAUCCCAGCUCAGAAUCCAAAAUGUUCAUCAUCAAGACCCUUUCAUACCCUCCAGUGUUCCUCAAAUGAAAAUAGGGACAUACUAUUCUACGUCAGGAAGCUUCUUCCACAUUUGAUUGUACUGCAUACAUAUACAGUACGUCAUAUAGACAUAUACAUCUGUCGCCUUGAGCCUAUUACAACCUCUCAGCCUAACCUACCUCACAGGAUUGUUAUGAAGAAAAGAAUGUGUAAUGGAAGGGAUUAUGUACAACAUCUUCAACAGAUAAAUGAAAUGGGGUGGAGAGUUUUAGCUAUAAGCUGCCUUGAGUCCCUGUCAAGGAAAAAAUGUGGGGAAUAACAAUGACAACAACAGAAACUGUGAGAGUGAUCAGGAACUUAGUAAAGGUAAAGGGACCCCUGACUGUUAAGUCCAGUCGCAGGUGACCACAGCGCCACCUGCUUCCCAGAUCAGGAACUUACUAGAGAGUAAAUCCUAUUGAACUCAAUGGGACUUCUGAGUAAAAAUGCUUAGGACUGCAGAGUAAGACUGCACAGUCUUCACCCAGUUACCUUGGAGCAAGCUGCAGACGCCCCAAGCUCCAAAAGAGUGAAGCUUCUGGGUUGGCCCUCGUAGUCUCUGAGCCUUGUUUUAGGAUGUCUCAGUUGCAUUCCAGGGCCUUUGCUCAUGCGGAAGUGUGCAUAGGGUUACAGCCUCUGUGCUCAUUAGGAAAUGUAUAACAUCUCCCAAUUAACUCUUUAACUAUAGAUAGAUAGUGAUAUAUUUUGUCUUGCCUAUGAAAUGCAAUUUAACAGAAAACAGUUACUGUAAUUAAUAAAGGAAGAGAAAAUCAGGAAAGGAGGGAAAGAACAAAGGAAGGAGAAAAGGGGAAGUUGAGAAAGAUAAGAAAGAAAAAACAGGAAAGGGAGAAUGGGAGGAAGAGAGAGUGAAAGUGAAGAUGAUGGGAAGAGGAAAAGGAAGAAGAGAGGAAUAAAGAAAGGGGAAAUGGGAGAGGAGAAGAAUACAGAAAUGGGGAGAAAAGAAAUGGGAAGUGGGUGAAGAAGAAAAGGAAGGAGGACUGGGGAAAUGAGAACAGGAAGGAAGGAAAAGGGGGGGGGGGGAGAAAGAGAAAGAAAGGAGAAACUGGGGAGAAAAGGAGCCUUGGGUGAAGAGAAAAGGUAGGAGGCAACCCAAGGGAGGAAGAAAUGGAAGUGGUGGGGGAGACAGGAUAAGGACAUUUUUUUGAAAAGGGAGAAAGAGGAUCAGAAUUGGUGAUGGGGUAGGGUGGGGAGCAAAGGAAAGAGGGGAAAGAGGGGCUGGGAAAAGGUGUGGGGGGAGAAGUUGGUGCAGUUAUCACAAUGGGAAGGCAUUUAGCCAAACAAAGUGAGCAGUGAAUGGUGCCUCCCCACUCUUAAAGGGGUCAAAAUGGCAUCUUUGCUAAAGCUGCAAGCUAGCUGCAAGCCCCUUUAAGAGCAGUUUAAAUUGAGACUCCUCAUGGCAAAGGAAGAAGCUGUGAUAGCUUAAUUGUUUUCAUGGCAGUCCUGGAAAAUUCAGGGCAGUUGGAGGGUAUGCCCUUCUGAUAAUACGUUUGCCAAGACCCCUGUGCCUCUUUAAUAGUGAGGCAGUUGAAACACAAAGUCUGAGCUUUGCAUAAAUGCACCGGACAGUGGUGUCCUGGAUUAAUACCAUCUAGCAAGAAGGGAAGGUGCUAGAUUUUGCCUUCCUGUAAACCUGAGACUAUCAGGAUCCUAUCUGAUUGGAUAUUUGGUUUCCCCCUGUGCCAGGCUGGCCAUCCCUGGCCCUGACCAUCCCUGGUGUAGCCAGGGUUUUCCUCCCUAUCCAUAGUUAGCAAAGUAGUUGGUGCUGGAAGGCACUCCUGGUAACUGUAAAGUGACUUUGAGACACUUUUAUAGUGAGCAACAAAAUAAUAAAAAAUAAGGCAAGCAGUGGAUGGGGAACCACUUUCAGCCCAAGGGAGGCAUUCUUCUGUGUGUGACUUUCUGAAGGCCACAUGUCAAUGGUGGGGAUGGCCAAAGGUAAGAGUAGGUAGGACAACACAUACCUUUAUAGAGCAGUCAACAUUCGAAUUAUGCAAAACAUCAGAGGUCUCUACACAAGCACACCUCCCUCCAGGCAAACAAGGGCAAAUUCUAGCCAGGCAAAAGGGCAUGUAGCAGAGGCAGUGAGGAGUGUGGUCUGAGAGGAAGCAUGGGCAGAAUGGAGAGGUCUGGAUAGCCACAUACAAUCCCUGGGUUUUUUGAGGUUCCUCUCCCCUGCAUCAAGUCACCAUUUCUCAGCCUCCCUAACUAACAGGGAAUUUAAGGCAAGAAGACCUGGGUACAGUUUACCAAUUCAGCAAUGUGACUACUGUGGAAAUAAGUCCUGCAACUCUCUUGCCUCUGCAAAAGCUGCUGUCAAUAGAGUCUAAUUGCUCUAGAUAGAUCUUUUCCUUCCUUGAAAGAGAGAGGCAAGCUCAUUUCACUAUUCAUGAUGUACCCAAAUGGAUAAAAGCAAUCUUUAUUCCUCCAGUGCUUCUAGUCGAACAGCUCAGCCAUAUAUAUUGGAUAUGCAUGACAAUCAUUUUUAACCUUGAAAGAGCGAGUUUCCAGCUGAGAGAAGCUUAACAUACACUUAGCACCUGCUGGCAUCCCUGGAGGAUAGGUUCCUGUUUGGCUGCUUUACCAGAUAGCCUGCCAAGGCACCUCAUAGAUUCAAUUCUGAGUGUCAGGUAUGGCAAUGCAUAAAGCAAUCGUACUGUGUGACCUGUAUUAAUUGGUCAACUUCUCCUCAGUGACUCAUCACCAAUUUGGCAGACAACAGUUACUUUCCACAUAGGACUCAUUUUCUCUGCCAGAGAGAGGUGUGGUGUUGGGGUGAGGGAUGACUAGUGAUUUUUCUCAUGUCAUGGAUCAAAUUUGCACUUGUUUCAUCUAGCCGCUUUGCUGAAUCAGGCCAAAGGCCCAUCAAGUUCAGCAUCCUGUCCUCACAGAGGCCAACCAGAUACCUACAGAAAGGUUGUAACAGUGCAACCAUGCUCUCUCUCUGCUUGUGAUUCCCAGCACCUGCCUUUCAGGGGCAAACUGCCUCCAAUAUGACAGAAAACUGAAAUACAAGUCACUAUUACAAUCAGGAUAAUUGUAUGUUGGGUGAUCAACUGAAUUUGCCUAUUCAGGAGUGUCUUCUAAGAGACUGUAGUACCAUGUUCAAGACAACAAAUCUCUUCAGAAAGUUAUCUGGCAUGUCAGAGACCUGACUGUACCAACUCUUCUGGUUUCAGUGGAGACCUGAUCUGACCCAUCUCUGCCCACCUAGGAUGGAUCUAAGUUGGAGGGCCAGGAGAAAUGUUAAUUGUUAUUCACAGUUUACCAUGGGAAUUCCAUUUCUUUGUCUAAGAAACAAAUACAUUUGGGAGCCAAUUUCAAGACUCUGUUCUUGGUGUUCUUUGAGUCAGAGAAACAUAACAAGAACUUUGCUGCUGUGCCACACUCACUGCAGGUAAAAUUAUUCCCUGGCUGUGCUGGCAGAAGUGAUCUCUGGGGUGGUGUUUGAGUGACCUCAGCCAUUGGUAUUAUGGGAUUUCAGCUUUCACAGCAUGCAUGCUCUUCUAGGUCAACUCUGGAUUUCAUGGCUGCCAUGCCAUGACUAUCAUGUGUCCAUUUCAGUACAUCAUGGACCCAACAUUCCUGACGUGUCGUAAGUUUGAUCUGGUUUUUGUUACAGAGUAGUUUGGGAGUGAGUCAGUAGUGGGAGAAAUUGCCCUCACCCCUUUGUCAUGAACGGACCAUGGUCUCUCAGAGGCAUAUGGAAAGUAGGGACUAGAUAGAUCUUUGCUCUUAUCCAGCAGGACUAUUGUGCUUUUAAUCAUCUUGUGAGAUGAGAGAGAGUAGAUUUCAGUGAUGACCAUGUUGGUUCAUUCUUGUUUGUAUUUCCUCUUCCAAAAGGAAAUGACUCUCAGCAAGCAACAGAGAGAACAUGCACCAUUCUAUAAAUCCAAUAACAAUGUGCCAUGUUUGAAAUGUGUAAUGUGUCAUGACUAUGUACAAACAUAAUCUAGCAGGUUUAGACAACACUUCAUUGCAACGUGGAUUAGAAUAAUUUGGGUGACCAUGGAAUGAUUCAUGGGCCAUUUUGAACGUACAUUGGCAGAUAACUGCAGAAGAAAAAUCCUGUCAUUCAAAUGAGAAAAAUACAUGCUCUAUCAUAUUGAAAAGCCCUUAUCUUUACUGCAAAGCACAUCAUGUCUGGCACCUCUCAGUAUACAUUCACUGUUGACAGGACAGUGCACACAAUUGUCACAAAGUACUCUAAGUACUAAGAUCUAAGUGAUCCUAAUAUUCUUGGCAAUCAUUUAUCUGUAAAGCCACUUUCAUUUCUACUGAAAAGGAGUGUUCAAUUGGUAAAAAUUCUGAUUAAUGUGCAAAAGUGCCCUUUGUUAAAUCCAUCAUCAGGACCAACAGAAUAAGGCUUACAGAUGGAAGAACAAUGCAGAGUGACUUGGGUACCUCAUGUUUCAUAAGCAACAUAUGUUUGGGGAAGUGAAGAACAGAUGUGACUUGUUUAAUUGAGGAAGCCAUAGCCACUUUGACUUACUGUCUCAUCACAUCAACAUUCCUAAUUUAGGUUGAAUGUAAUAGUGUGGCCGCCCAUUUUUUUCUCUCCCCAAAGCAUAUUUAGGGAUGCUGUAUGUGGUUUUGUGUAUGUGUGCGUGCGUGUGAUUUCCAAUACAGUAGUACCUCAGGUUAAGUACUUAAUUCGUUCCGGAGGUCCGUUCUUAACCUGAAACUGUUCUUAACCUGAAGCACCACUUUAGCUAAUGGGGCCUCCUGCUGCCGCCGCACCACGGGAGCACGAUUUCUGUUCUCAUCCUGAAGCAAAGUUCUUAACCCGAAGUAAUAUUUCUGGGUUAGCAGAGUCUGUAACCUGAAGCGUAUGUAACCUGAAGCGUAUGUAACCCGAGGUACCAUAGUACCAACUGCCCUAAUCCACAAUUCCUGGACUAUUGUGUUUUCUGUAUUCCAGACCUAAUAGUGCCACUGCACAGAUUAAUGUGGAAAUGGAGUUCUAGGUAAAUAUAUGACAAAGUGACAGAAACCAGAAAUAGGCAGGUUCUCCCAUCCUUAAGCAGAUCACUCCAGUCUUGAAACAGCUCCAUGAGCUCCCAUUAGAUUUGUAAUCUACCUGCUGGCUUUGAUCUUUAUGGCAGGAUCAGGAAGCCUCUGGCCCACUGGCCAACUUUAGCAAAGCCCAGGACCCAGUUGGCUUUCAGUCAUUUGGAAAGCACAGCACAAACUCUUUUGCAAGCUUGGUGCUCGGCACUGCCCAAGCCCAAAGUAUAGGGUUGCCAGAGUCCCUUGCACUGUACUUUCCAAGAGCACAACCACCAGCUGACGUUUAGGUGCUAGGGAAGCUCUGCUCAAGGGACUUUCACAUGUGGGUGUGCAUCCUGUAGUCUCCCAUAGAAAAUCAAUCUUUCUUGCCAGAACGCCAAUCCAUCUGAAGCCAGGUGUGAGUGUCUACACCUAGUGUUUGGGUAGAGAAUUUUCCAUAUAGCUUUCUGCCCCAUAUCUGAGUUUUUUUCUUCAACAUUUUCUUGAAUUAUGGACUGACAAGACUGAGCCAGCUGAAUAUACAGUCUUGGCAGAGUUUCAAAUGUGAAUAUCUAAGAAGUUCUAUUUCCUUGCUCUCUUCCCUAUUAUUGAUGUGCAUAAUAAUUAUAUAUCUUUUUAAAAAGACAAAUCUACCCAAAAGGUCAAAAUCAUUGAUGCUUUUACAGAUGGCACCCUGGGGAAUUCAGAGUGUAAUCUUAGCUCAUGUUUGUCUGAAACUGUUACUUGAAUGCUUUUUAUGAGAUUCAUCAAUUACUUUAAAGGCAACCUUGCUGGACGAUGUAGACUUUGAAUUGCUUACUAGAUUGUAGCUGACUGUGGAAAGCUAACAAGAACCUGCAUAUAUUUAGAAGCAUCUCUGUAAUUUUGUGGACUAAAAGUUAAGCAAGAAUACGGUCAACAAUACUAAAUUGUUCAGGGUUAUUAAAACAAAAAGAGAUUGUGAAGAAUCUCUCCAAAGUACAAUGACGAACGCAAUUCAGUGUAAACAAACGUAAAGUGGUGCAAAUCAUCUCAAAAAGAGAACAAUCUGAAUUUCACAUAUACAUUCAUGGGGUAUGAACUAGCAGGGACUGACUCAGGAACAACAUCUUGAGGUGAUGAUAGAUAGCUUGAUGAAGUGUGUGUCAGCUGUGAAAAAUGCAAAUUUCGUGCUUGAAAUCACUAGGUAAGGAAUUAAAACUAAAGCCACCGAUAUCAUAAUGCCAUUAAACAAAUCUAUAGUGUGACUUCAUUUAGAAUAUUGUGUACAGGUCUGGUCACCCCACCUCAAAAAGGACAUUGUCGAAUUCGAAAACGUUAAGAAAGUGGCAACCAAAAUGACCAUGGGGAUGGAGUGACUCUGCUAUGAGGAAAGGUUGCAGAGUUUGAGACUUACAGCUUAGAGAAAAGGCAUGUAAGAGGUGACAUGAUGAAAGUUUAUAAAAUUAUGCAUGACAUGGAGAAACUGGAUGGUGAAAAGUUUGUCUCCCUCUCUCUUUGACACUAGAAUGCAUGGACAUCCAAUGCAGCUUAAUGUUGGAAGAUUCAGGACAGAUAAAAGGCAGCACAUAGUUAAACUAUGGAAGUACGCUUGCAUGGCCCCACAUUUCAGCAGCUGCAAAGAUCACCUGUAAUAAAGCAGCGAAAGGUGGGAAAUCUACUCAACACCACAUCUAAACUACCACUGAGCUAGAAGAUGCACAAUGCUGGUAAAUAAUGCAUGAAAAAUAACUUGGGUGAUUGUCUGUGAGAGCUGUUACAUGACUUCAAGUAUGUACAGAAACUUGGGGGGCGACCCCACUUUUAAUGACUUCAUCUUGGUUGAUCUUUGGUAUCAAAGAAUUUCUGAGCCUUCUCCCCCCCCCCCCCCGCAUUUGAAGAGGACUGUUAUGGCUUUUUAAUGGAUACAAAUUUAUUUUAUUUCUCUUAAGUGUUUAUUCUCUCUCCCUCUCUGCUUUUAAGGCAUGCGUGUCUCUAGGGGGAAAGUAGCACAGUACUUUAAAUGGUCUGGAUUUGCAUAUGAGCAAGUACAGCUUUUGUGAGCUGCAGAGUACUUUGGAUUUAAAAUGAAAGUAAAUCCACUCAUCUAGCUGGGUAUUGAAUAAUGGAUGGUAUGCUCAUCCAGGCUCAGAGCAAAAUCCAGACAUCAGUGCAGAAGCACUUUGCACCUUACGUCUAUGUUCAGUGGCUUCAUUUCAACUAGUCUUGGGGGGGAAAGGUGGCAGUUUCUUUUUCCCCCUCCUCUUAUUGGCUGUUUGAAGUGGGGACUUGACCUUGAUGGUGACAUUCUUUGGACCAUGAUAGUGACCAAGAUAAUUGGCAGAUAGGUAGUGAUGCUACAGCAGAGGUCGAGAGCCUUAGGUAUGUGCCCCCUCCUCAGAGCUCUCAGUUUGGCCAUGGGACUCUCCCUAGGCCACAUGCCUCACCAUCCCUGCUUUACAAUUUCCAUGCAUUUUGAAAUCUUGUACUACCUCAUGUUUGCCUGGAUGGAGGAUAGAGAGUGGUAUGAGCAUCUGUAGAAACUAGGCUACUGGACAAGGGUAAAAUUUAGAUUUGCUGCUCCACCUGCUUUAGCCUCUGGCCACACUCAUCCCUGACAUGUGGUCUAUAGAAAGUUGCCAAGAGAAAAUAUGACCUUCAGGCUGAAAAGUGUUCCUCGCCACUACUUUAGUGGUAUUUAUAUUGCUAUCUUCAUGUAAUUGCCCAAUGCACAAGAGAGUUGUGGGGUUGUGGUUAAUAGUGCAAUUUGGCCAAUGCUGUACAUGCCAAACACAACCCACACUGGCUACAUAUUUGCUGCCUGAAUAAAUGAGGCCAUAUUCAAAUAAUGUCAGGGCUGGGCUAUGAGCAGCAAUCUCAGGUGAGCCUCAAGUCAGGGAUCAGAAGCCACGGAGCAAGCCAGACUACAGAACAAACCAGCCAGCUGGGUUGAAAAGCAAGCAAGCCAUGUCAGGACCAAAGAGCAAGUCAGGACAGGAGAACUGUCAGAAUGAAAGCAAAACACAUGUAUACACCAAUGCUCAAGAAGACCAAAGUGCUCAAGGAAAGCUCAAAUGCAAAAGCAAGUCUUUCCUUCCCCUUCCUACCCAGAAGGAUCCAGUUGUCAGGUUAGAUGGGCAGAGUCAGUCUGGAACAUUCUUCCCUAACAAGGCUGUCACCUUCACUUCAGUGGCUUGCCAGGUGAGGUAGCCACACACAUAUGACAGCAGCCACUAAACACUUACAGAUGUAAAGCUGCAGCAAAACGAAAGCUGCAUAGGCUUUAAUCUGGAAAUGAUUUUUGGGAAAUUCUUCUAGUUAACACCAGCAUUCAUGAACGGUGGAAUGCAAAGCAGAGCAAGAGCAGAGAAAAGAAAAAUGAAAGGGAUCCACUAAUCAUAAAUGGAGAAGGAUGUGCAUUGUGUCUUGUACUUUUCCAACAAGAGCAUUUGGCUGCCCUUGCCUAUCACUGGGGUUGGAGGUGGGAGGAGGGGGGGAGGAAGGGAUAUAUGAAUCACAACAAUGGCACAAUGGCAUUUAUUAUUUAUUUUUCUUUUCAUCCAUUUUUAAUGCUAUGUCAAAUCAAAGGCUGAUGGGGGAUUCGACGUGUUCUGUUUUAACAUACUGGCUUUGUAAUGCUUUCAGUAAAGUAAUUAUUUAUUCCAAGUUUUUACGAGGAGAAGAAAAUCAAAGAGGUGGAGGGAAUUCAAAUCCUAUAGCGCAUUUCAUAUGCAGAAAAUUUCCCCUUAAAAUGUAUAUACUGAGCAGUAUACCUGUGUGUGCUCAUUGCUGUCUUUGCUGGCCAGUGAUUGACUUGGUGCAUUGUCUCCUCACUAGUAGGUUACACCAUUUGGGACUUUUUUCAGUUUAGAGAAAGGCAAUCAGUGGAGACAUGAUAGAGGUAUAUAAAAUUCUGCAUGGUAUGCAGAAAGAAGCCAGAGAAAAGUUUUUCUGCCUCUCUUUUGUCAUGCUAAAGCAUGGGGUCAUCCAACGAAGCAGAAUGUUGGAAGAUUCAGGACCGACCAAAGAAAGCACUUUUUCCACACAGUACAUAGUUAAACUAUGUAAUUCAUAGUGACGGCCACAAACUUUGAUGGCUUUGCAAGAUGAUUUGACAGAUUCAUGAAGGAUAAAGCUAUCAACAGCAACUAGUCACAAUGGCUGUGUUCUACCUCAGCUGUUGGAGUUGGUAGGCCUCCGAAUAUCAGUUGCUGAAAACCAUGGGAGGCAAGAGUGCUCUUGUCCUUCUUGUGGAUAACAUAUGCUCAUCCUUUUUACGAUGUUUCUUCUCCUCUCUCCUGUCGAAACAUACUCUUUCUCUUAAACCCACUCUUUAACCUUACUUUCCCCUAACUGAUGAAAACUUAAUCUAAAAUAGGGUAAGUCUAUGUUAAAAAAUACUUAACCUCACACAGUAACAGAUUUAAGCUACGAGUUUGACUCCAAUGUUAGAAGGGUUUUGACUGCAUUGGUACUAUGCUUCACAUUUAUGGGCAUUUGACUUAACAAGCCUGACUGGAAUAAUGCUUUUCACAUAAUCAGCUCCGUAACUCUACAAACAAUACAAGGUACCCCACAGGUUGCUUUUUAAAUCAUUUUUCAUGGAAAACAGAAGGACUUCCAACAUAAAGAGCUAGUUAUUUUUCUUUUGGACCCAGCUCAAAACUGGAAAAAGUUAGACAAUUUGCAAAUUCAUAACUGGAGACAAAAAGAAUGGAAAAUUGCAUGCAUGGAAAAAUUCACAAAACAGGUGAAAACAUCAAAAGACAACUAUCAGAUGACAACUUUACUGGUACCUUUUUAUAACACAUAUGGACAAACAUAUUCAGAUUUGCCCCUCAUCAUCGACACACUUUCACCUUUGGAGCAAUGUGCUUCAAUAAAUCCUUAUUUGGCUUUGGGGCGGAGGGAAAUACCUUCGUGGAUCUGUGUACUGAUGUUUUGUAUUUCGGGAACUUAUUUAUUUAUUUAUAUUUAAACCUGGAGGCAAGGCAAUUGAUAGAAUGUACUGCCUGCUUAUAUCAGUUAAAUUCUGGCCACAACAACCUCUUAAGGUUUGAUGUUUGGCCUUUUGAGGGUGCAAACCCUUUUAGUUGUUAGCUAGAAUUAUUAAAAGUAAAUGAUUUGCAGAUUAAUCUCCAUAUCAAUAAUGAAGAUGUCCUUUCCAAUUUAUGUAGGAGAUUUUGAUGCAGAACCCUUAUUUAUGUGGUGUCUUAUUGUUUAAUUAAGUCCAGAGAUAAACUUCGCUGCAGAAGAAAUCUGUCUAAAUCAGGCAAACGAAUCUUUUGGUUACCAAAUUAAUAACUUCAUUGAUGCCAACGGUCUUCCAUUUUCACUCCAUUACAUUCUGAAAUUUAUGUUCAAAUGGCAUAGCAAACAAAUGAGAUUUUCAUUUAGAAAAAAUAAGAAUGAUAAGAUUGGAAAGGGGGGGAGAAAAGCAAUUUAACGUCAAUAAAUUAUUUUUAAAAUUAUUAAAUGACGUAUUCCAUUAACUAUAAAAAGGGAAUUAAAGGGCAUUGGUUUAUGAACAGUCAGUCAUCUGGAGACCUUUGUAACUCUGGCCAAUUGUACCUGUAAUAAUUGCAUGAGAGAACUUUAUGGUGUCUCAUUCGAUAUUUCUUUUCUUCUUCAAAGCUACCACUCUCAUCAACGUAAUGAUUAGAAUGUGACAAUGAAAAGACUAGAAUAAAUUAUAUUUUGUUCCCAGAGUGCACAAGCUAAAUGUUUCAAAUGGUUAUUUUGCUUUGUGUGCCGCAUGAAUACAGAUAGCUGCCUGAACAUCACGGAAUACCCAACGAGUCUCAUUUAAAACAGAAUACGAGCCUGCAGAGAGGUGACCAAACUACCACAGAGUAACACAGGUUACACUCCUACACAUUCUGCUCUCACAUUAGGAGCACAGGAAGCUGUUUUAAAGCAAAUCAGACCAUUGGCCAAUCUAGCUCAGCAUUGCCUAUACUGAACUCCCCAGGAGUUCAGGCAGGAUUCUCUCCCAGCCCUAUAGGAAGCCCACCAACAUUAGAAAUGUUGUUGUUAUUUAUUUUAUUUAUGAAUCGCUUUCUAUGAGGCAUAGGGACAUAUGAAAUUGCCUUAUACUGGGUCACGACAUUGGUUCUUCUUGCUUACUAUUGUCUACCAGACUGGCAGUGGCUUUCCAGGGUUUCAGACAAAGGUCUCAUGCAACCCUACCUGGAGGUGCCAGGGAUUGAAAGCAGGACCUAACAUGGGAGGUAAUGUUGUGAUGUUGGACUGGAAGAAAGCUAUUGUUGUCUAUUAUAUUUAACAACAAUUGGAGAAUUACCUUGCAUCAAAAGAAAGGAAUGAACUGGAAAGUCCUUGACUGAAGACUGGGAAAAUAUCACCUAGCAGAAUAUUAAUCUAGAUUGAACAUUUGACUGUUUUGAAAAAUUAUUGCAUAUAUAACUGACAGCUGGAAAGUUGGAAGUCCUUUUUACCUAUUUCUUUUCUUGUUACCUUUCUUUCUUCUCUUUCUUCUCUUUCUAUUAUCUCUUAUUGUAUUUUGAAAAGCACUAAUAAAUUGUUGGGGGGGGGGGUUGAAAAAAAAGAAAGAAACAAGGAACUUUUGUGUACAGAGCAGAUGCUGUCCCACUAAGCUAUGGCUUUUCUCUAUCUCAAAGUGAUUUAUAAUACAGUGAAAACAAGUGUUGGUCUCUAUGUCUUCUGCUCUACCAAGAAAGCUCCAGUCACAUGCCUCUCCUCUCUAACAGACAAACAUACAUAAGCAAAUCAACUUGUAUUCUGUAUUAGAAUGGCAAAAGAAAAACAACAUGUUCCCAAACCAACUGGAUAUCUCAGCUGGUUACAACAUGGUGCUGACAAUGCCAAAAGUUGUAGGUUUGCAUUGCAGUGGGUUGGACUGGAUGAUGCUCUCAGGGUCCCUUCCAUCUCUACAAUUCUCUGAUUCUGUGAAACAAGCAUUCACUCUCUGAACUCAAUUCUCUUCUGUCAUUGGUAUUGUUUGACUUCAUUAUGAACUGCUGGGCUUUUGUGUAAUAAAAAGCUUUUUUGGCCAGAAUGAAUAUAUGUAAUAUUUAUCCUUUUUCCCAUCUAUCCCCUUGACCUCCAUAACUUUGAAAUCAAUUUCAAAAUGACUAAGCAGCUCUGUUCAUUAAAUGUAUGCUCCCUUUCUGCAUUUAAAAAUAAGACUAAUCCACAAUUACUUUUAUUAUUUUCAUCUACAGUAGAAUAAAGAUAAUUUUUACAAACCCAAAGAAAAUAUAAUCAAACGAAACACUUGUAAUUCCUAACAAAGGAACAAAUGUGAUUAUUAUUUUUUUGCUUUUCAGCACUGCUGAUUCAGUUGAAAAAUCCUGCUUUGCAGGGGGUUGGACUAGAUGGCCCUUGGGAUCCCUUCCAACUCUACAGUUCUUUGAUUCUCUGAAAUUAAUUGAUUAAGUGAACUUGGGAAAAUAUGAAACAAAGAUGGUGCACCACCACCAUCUCAUUGAACUUCUUUCUCAGUCAAAGCAAGUGCUAACAGCAGCAUCAGCCAUAUCAAGGCACAUUGGGUUGUUAUCUUCUGCCCAACAAAAUUAGGAAAAGAAGCAGCUGCCUUAUAUCAAAUCAAACCAUUGGCCCUUCCAGCUCAGCAUUGUCUUUUCUGACUGGCAGCCAGGGAUUGAACUUGGAACCUUCAGCAUGCAAAGCAGAUGCUGUAUUGCUAAGCCAUGGCCCUUCCCUUCUCACAAGGCUGCUCAUAAGCUGUAGUUCAGGGAUGGUUGAAGAAAACCAACACACUUCCUAAGGUCCAAGUAAAUACAACAUUGUGCCACAGUGCACAUUCCCCCCCCCCCCUUGUAUAAAGUAGCAGCCAUAAGACUGGAGGUGACCGUCGCAUGGAUCACUGUGGCCAGAUCAGGGUAGGAAAGGUGGGGAAGGAUAGCUGCUGCUGCUUUCAGACUGCAAAUGAUAUGUACUGUAAUUUAUUAUGUCAUCCCCCCCCCCCAUUUGCAUUGCAUAUUCUUUGCAUUGAAAAGAAUGGGGUGGAAUGAUGUAAUGGCAAUAUAAUUUAUGUCAUUAAGAUUGCAUUUAGUGAAACAAAUAGGGUAUUUUGGGUGGAUGAUGAACUGCAGAAGAAAGAAACCACACUGAAUUUUAUAAAUACAGGAUGGGGAUAGGAAAUUCAGUCCACUUUCCAAAACAAUACGUAAACUGCAACACAGCUAUACUUUAAAAUGUGGACUUCUCUGAAUUUUGCAAUGUAGCUAAGUAUAAAAAUUAGAGCAAAUUAUAUUAAAAUGCAAUUGUUAAUGAAUAGCAUUCAAAAUGCACUACAUAAGAGGACAUUGUUAACUAAAGAUGUGUAUAUUAGGCACAAUUCCAUACAGUGAUGUGUGUAUUCCAAUAAAUUUGUACUAGAAUACUGAUAAAUUUUGAUGAUGACUUUGUUUUGAAAAGUGCAAAUAUAUGUAGAAAUCCCGAGAAUUGAACUGAAGACUAGAAAAAAAUGAGAGAAACUAAGAUUGAAAGAUUUUCCUAUCCCCACCUAGGACUCAAGGAAUUUAUUUUUGAGUAGACAUGUAUAAGCUUGUACUAUAAAACCAUCAAUUUGCUGCUGAUUUAUCAAAUUCCUGACACCCUGAGAAAAAAUUAAGAACCACAUGAGAAAGAAGAUGAAAACUUUUUGGUUUUUUAAAGUUUCAAUGAAAGUUGUUUGUUGUUUUGGCUGCGGGUAGAAUCUGUGCUUUUUGUUUUAUAACUUCAUAGUUAGGAUUUUUAUUUUUAUUUGUAAAACCUUUUGAAGCUCACUGACACACGACCAUAUGAGUGACCUGUUUGACAUUUUCUUUACAACUUUCUUAUCCUUAUACUUGGCAAACUAAGCAAAACAAAUGAUUUUAAAGAAUCAUCAAAAAUACCCAAUGGAAUGAAACUGAACUUUUUGAAACAUCCAAAUACUCAUUCUGUUCUUUUUGUUUGUCCUAAAAAUAACCACACUGACUCUCUCUCCCCCCCCCCUCUAUAUAUAUUUGUUUUAAUUAGAAUAAAAUAUUACUCAGUUUGAAAUGCACCAAGCUAAGAUUCAGCCCAGAAAGAAGCUUUUAUUUUUUUCUCUCUCUCUUUGCAAGCUAGGUUACAAACUCUAAAAUCCAAGUUAGCAACAAAAAGUGCUGACACUCCUUUCUCCACAGUUUCUUGAACUUUGCUGCUAUAAAAACACACAAAAUAAGUAGAGAAGGGUGGAUAGUAAAAAUGUCCUCAAGUAACAAAAUGUCCAAGAAUGCAUAAUUACGGAUUUCUCAAGGACUUGUACACUCUGCACAUAUUUCCAGGUUAUAUUUCACUCUAGAGUAAGCAGCUAGAGGAUCUUUUGGCAGCACACUGUCAGUGUUAAGAGCUAUAAAAUGUUUCAGACAACAAUAGCCAGAGGCAAUUUGUGUAAUGUGUACUCUUUUACAAGAUGCAAACAAUGGCAAAAACCCACAGACAGGAAUUGACUUGAAAGCAAAGGAGAUUUCAUUUUGCUUAGGGCCUCUCUCUCUCUCUUUUCAAAGCAGUUGUAUCAAAAGCAGCAAUUUUAUUCAUUAAACAGGAUUUUAACUUACAGCAACUAUGCUUCGUCCUGUUAAGGGCCAAAAUAACACGAGGACAAACUCAAGAGUUUAUUGUAAGAAACAGAAAAUUGUUUAUUUGGUGCCAACAAUAGACUUUUUAAGGUGUUAAAUGGAAUAUAAGCAUGCGUUCACAAUACUACCUUAGAGCACAGUGGAAUUAUUCUUACUAUUUUUGGUGUGCUUCGUGGCUGUUUCCCCUCAGCGAUUCACAUCAGCACAACUUCAUUAGUGUCAUAUUCAUUUCUGUUUGUGUGCACACGGGCUGCAGGGGGUACUGAUUGGGCAGGGAUCUAUUUACCCUAGGUAAAGGUUUCAACACCUUGGCUAGAGAUGAAUUAGGAAUGGUUUAAGGACUCCAGCCAGUGUGAAACUGAUUUGAGAAACAACACAUCAAACAGAUUGCAUAACAAAAUACAGGGUACAUAUGCAUUCUGGAUAUCGUCUGAAUGCUGAUUAGAAACUCAGCCCUGAAAACACAGUAAUUGCACAGUAAAUGGGAAUGUGAACAGAGCCUGGGACGGCCUCCUGAGAGCUGCUUUGGACAUUCCAAGGAAGUGUGGACCACAAGAAGAGCCCUGCUGGAUCAAGACAAUAGUCCAUCUAGUCCAGCAUUCUGUUUUCAAUGUGGCCAGCCUAUAGGAAGCCUGCAAUCAGGAUCUGAUUGAAGCAGCACUCUCCCCACUUGAGAUUCCCAGAAAUUAGCAUUCAUACAGUGGCCAUUGAACAUUGCCAUCAUGGCUACAGGCCACCUAUAGCCUUCCCCUCCAUUAAUUUGUCUAAUCCUUUUUUAAAGUCAUCCACAUUGAUAGCCGUUACCACAAAGGGAGAACUUAGGAAGCUGCCUUACACUAAGACAGACCCUUGCUUCCCUCUAUGUCAGUAUUGUCUACACCAGAGCUUUCCAAAUUGUGUGUCACGACACAUUAGGUGUGUCAGCUGCAGUGUGUAGGUGUGUUGUGCAAUCGCUUCCCCCGGGGCUGGAAAGGGGUUAGUUUAACCUCUGGUUUGCUAGUAAAACUAAAUUACUGUGUCGCAAAAUGGUGCAUGUCUAAAAAGUGUGUCAACAGCAUGAGAAGUUUGGAGAGCUCUAGUCUACACUGACUGGCAGUGUCUCUCCAUGGUUUCAGGCAGGAAUCUCUCCCAAGCCUACCUGGAGAUUUUGGGAAUUGAACCAAAGACUUCCUGCAAGAAAAGCAAAUACUCUACCACUGAGCAACAGCCCUUUCUCAGCUUCCACCUCUUGAGGAAGCAAUUUCCAUAGUUUAACCACACACUGUGUGAACAAGUACUUCAAUUUGUUUGUCCUGAGACUUUCAGCAUUCUACUUCAUUAUAUGGCCCUGAUGUCGUGUUAUGGGAGAAGAAGAAAACUGUUUAUUUCUCCACAUCAUGCUUAAAACCUUUCUGCCUUGUUUGGGGGCAAGGCCUGCUCAGCGCAUGGCUCUAAAAAUGCAAGGAUGCUUCAUCCAGAGAUGGUUCCAAUGGGGUAAUUUGAGUAUAUGUGGUUUUGUACAAACCUGCUCGUCCCUGGAACAUAAUCCCACCUCAAGACAUGAUCAUACUGUACUUCCAUCCACUCACUCCCAUCUAUAGAAUAACAGUCAUGGUACUGUGUAACCUCAGCACCUGAUAAAGGAACAAUCAGCACUGGUAACAGACAAAACAACAGCCUCACAGUCAAGGUGGCCAUAAAGGUCACCAUAAACCCACAUUGGUAGCCAGUCUGAUUUAACCUCCCCUUUUCCACCAGCAACCUAGCCUGAUUCAUCUCUUGCUCCACUGAUGACUUGCUGGCUAGCAAACCAGGCUGAGAACCACAGGACUACAGCCCUUUUGUGUUGGCUUAUGCCAAAGGCUUGCACUCUUGCCAGGCAAAAGAUUGAAACAGAAUAAAAUACUGUAAAUGCCACCCCAAUCUCCAAGCGGUGCAAGAUUCUAGGGGUUCCAGGUGCCUACCCAGGGUUUGGUUUCCUCCAAAUGAAGAACAGCAGAGACUGUAGUGUCUUUAGGAUAUAUGGUUUAUUUGCAUAUAUUUACAACCUGAGCCUACAGUGGAGGAGCUCACAGCAUAAAGGGCCAUUACCCAAAACCUGACCUGGCUAUUCUAGCAAUUGAAUCCUUGCUGGUUCCAUGGAUUAGAAGGGACGCAGGCAUACAGCCUAACACCCCUCUCUCUCUCCCACCCACCCCCCCAAAAAAACCCCUCACAACAAUAAAGUACCUGGGGAUGUGGGGAAGAAGGGGAAAAGACAGUCUUCAGUCAUUAGUCCAAGUGAAUCUUCUUCCAUUCGCAUACCAGCCCCACCCCUCCCUAGAAUUUGAAACAUCCCUGGAAGUUGAUAAUGAAGGGUAGUAUAUAAACAUUUCAAUUAAAUAAAUAACAUUUUUAUUAAUGUGUGCAAUAUUUUAAUCAUUUUGCACCCAAAACCAUUUUCUGUAGUCUUGUAAUAUCAUUCUAUAUCAAAUGCAAGCUAAGGAAAUUACACAGGUUUAUGUAGGUGUUAAGACUACACCUACAUAAACCUGUGUUAGGCUGGCCAUAGGAUUUCCCACAAGAAUCUACAGAGCAGAAAUAAACUGAAUUCCUCUUGCAAGUCUUAUACAUGACUAGAAAGUGGCAAGACAGUUUGCAAAUGAGCAGGUGUUUGUAACAUGUAACCUUAAUUGAUUAUUCUCUCGGGCCCUUUGUGCAAUGGAGGCAGACUAAUCUGUGUUUUUGCUUUGAUUAUUUAUAUUGGAAAUGGGUGUAAAUGGCAGGCUAAUGUGUAUUUCAAAGGGAGAGCAAAUAAGGACAGAAGCAUUAAUCAUUUCACAACACACCAAAGGGUCACUCUACCUCUCUGACUUCCACACCAUGUCAGUAUGAAAACAGCAAAUGGAAAUGGGCAAUAUAUUCUCAUCUUGAAUGCCUGAGUCAUAAAGCCUUAGGGACUACUUUUUCUCUAUAGAUCUGCUCAGGUUAAAUCUGUGUAGAAAUCAAUCCAUGGGGAGAGGAGCAGUUGGAAUGCAUUGUUAGCUGAUUGUUGACCUUGGGCCUGAUGGAGCAGCCUGUGGCCAAGGAGGUGGGGCCAAUAAGGUCACAUGGGCAGGAACCAAUGAGAUCACAUUAGUUCUGGCUUUAUUCCCCCCCUCCUUCCUUGCAAAUGUGUGGAUGCUAAAGCAUUGCAGAUGUGUAAGUACUUAGUCACUAACUAAACUGGAAAAUAUCUAAGCUUGGUUUAGGAGGGGUCCCUGCUGACAUAAUUUUUAGUGUGGCUUAAUGUCGCAAUAACUAUAUAUUACUCAAAAAAAGCACCACUAAACUCCAUGGGGAAGCUCCCAGCUAGGUACUGGGGCCUGAAUUAGCUAGUCUUAAAGGUGUCACACAGAACUGUCACACAGAACUGUUAACACGAUCUGCAGAUCUCCAGUCCUAUGGGAAAAAGUUACCCCCACCCAAUUUAUACAUUUCUAUGCCUUCUUCCCAGAAUGUGGAGGGAUAUUAAAUGGUUUGUUUGCAUGAUUUCAUUUAUUUUCCAGGCACAAGACACUUCAGUUCUAAAUGAAGCACCUGCAACAUUCCUGUUCCUGUUUCUGCACUAGAACAUUGUCACCAGAGUCUUACGGCGAUCACCAAAAGUGAGAUCUCAUGGCUUCCUUUGAAUAAACGAAUAUAAAAUUAUAAUCUUCUAGAUGCUGCCCCAAAUAUUGCUAAGCCCAAGUCAAGAGGAUACUUGUUAGAUAUGGAUAAAACAUUCUGUACACUCCCAGAUUGUUCAGAUGCUCCUCAGUGAUUAUUGCAGCUGAUCCUAAGCACAUUGUUAAGAUUUAUUAGCUACCGGCAGGUUUUGUUUCUGAGGGGGUGAUAUUUCAGAAUCUAUAUAUCAGGAUUUUGCAGGAACGGAAAUCGUGCAAGCAUUUUAAAUCCAAAGGGGCCCCUGGAAAUAGAAUCACACUAAUAAUGCCAGUAUUAGUUGCAGCUGAUGUCUCUUCGAACUCCAAAAGCUUUUCCAGUCUUUUUAUAGGUGUAAAAGGAAGCAAAAUCCUUGUAACUUUACCUACAGCAUCUAUCACUUGCCACCACAAAUAAAAGAUAAUUUGGGACACUGUUUUAUUUAUUCCAGAUUGGUAAUGCUAUCCUAACAUCGCAGGGGGG